rnacentral:misc_RNA from 1 species
UUGAAGAAAUCCACUGGGUAUUGGAUAUGUAUCAUUUCCUACAUGUCUUCUUUACCAUGCUGUUCUAUAUGAUAUGCAUAUGAUCUAUGCUGUGUGGUUUAGCUUUUUAUUACUUUUUCAUUCCUGUAGAUCAAUUAAUCCUUCACUUACAAUAUAGACAUGUCAUAUGUCUAGCAUGAAAUGUCACAUGAAGGUGAGAUAGGUAAAGUCUUCAGAUCAAACUUCACGUUGGGGCGUCCUCUACUUAC